GUUCGGUUCUCAAUGGUCUUUGGUACACGAAAUGUGCGUCUGGCGUACAUAGUUUUAGUACUGGUAUCUAUGCUUAGUUAUUUCGUAAUGCUCAGUUCUUUUUUUCUAUGUACUAAUUUUUUUUUGUUUUUCGAUAUAGUGUUGUCAAUCAAUCUGAACUAAUGAGUAUGUGAAUAUCCCCUUAGUAUUUUCCGGUUGUUUAUGGACAUAAGCCUUUACAAUCAUUAGAUCAUAACGUCUGUAACAAAGUUUUGGAAAUAUAUUUUAUCUACGUUGUCGUAUUUUUAUGAUAAAAGGACAUCCCUCAAUAUCUUAAAUCCUCACUGAUUUUGCUAAACAGAAC
rnacentral:lncRNA from 1 species